rnacentral:rRNA from 1 species
UACGAAGGGGGCUAGCGUUGCUCGGAAUCACUGGGCGUAAAGCGCACGUAGGCGGACUCUUAAGUCGGUGGUGAAAUCCUGGAGCUCAACUCCAGAACUGCCUUCGAUACUGAGAGUCUCGAGUCCGAGAGAGGUGAGUGGAAUUCCUGGUGUAGCGGUGAAAUGCGUAGAUAUCAGGAGGAACACCCGUGGCGAAAGCGGCUCUCUGGGACGGUACUGACGCUGAGACGCGAAAGCGUGGGGAGCGAACAGG